UCAGGCGCCGCCGCGCCCUUCCUGUUGUCAGUGGCCCGGAGGCCGUAGCGUCGGCUCCGAGUCUGAGGCGCUGUAGCGGCCGGGAGCUCAGCCCGCCCGGUCCCUGCUCCCUGUGGUGUCAUGUGAGUCUCCUUGCUUAGUGGUGCCUGAGUGGAAAUGCUCUCAGUGGUGGAGAAUGGACAGGAGUCCCGGGCUGCCGUCUCGGUCAUCAAGAAGAAACUGGUGGGAUCCGUGAA